rnacentral:rRNA from 1 species
UACGAAGGGGGCAAGCGUUAAUCGGAAUUACUGGGCGUAAAGGGUGCGUAGGCGGUUGUUUAAGUCGGUCGUGAAAUCCCCGGGCUCAACCUGGGAAUGGCGAUGGAUACUGGGCAGCUAGAGUGUGUCAGAGGAUGGUGGAAUUCCCGGUGUAGCGGUGAAAUGCGUAGAGAUCGGGAGGAACAUCAGUGGCGAAGGCAGCCAUCUGGGACAACACUGACGCUGAAGCACGAAAGCGUGGGGAGCAAACAGG